rnacentral:rRNA from 1 species
UACGGGGGGGGGCAAGCGUUGUUCGGAAUUACUGGGCGUAAAGGGCUCGUAGGCGGCCAACUAAGUCAGACGUGAAAUCCCUCAGCUUAACUGGGGAACUGCGUCUGAUACUGGAUGGCUUGAGUUCGGGAGAGGGAUGUGGAAUUCCAGGUGUAGCGGUGAAAUGCGUAGAUAUCUGGAGGAACACCGGUGGCGAAGGCGGCAUCCUGGACCGACACUGACGCUGAGGAGCGAAAGCCAGGGGAGCAAACGGG